CGGCGAGCGAACGGGGAGCAGCCCAGAGUCUGAAUCAGCUUGUGUGUUAGUGGAACGGUCUGGAAAGUCCGACGGUACAGGGUGAUAGUCCCGUACACCAAAAUGCACAGGUUGUGAACUCGAAGAGUAGGGCGGGACACGUGGUAUCCUGUCUGAAUAUGGGGGGACCAUCCUCCAAGGCUAAAUACUCCUGACUGACCGAUAGUGAACCAGUACCGUGAGG
rnacentral:rRNA from 4 species